rnacentral:misc_RNA from 1 species
GAAAUGCGAUAAGUAAUGUGAAUUGCAGAAUUCAGUGAAUCAUCGAAUCUUUGAACGCACCUUGCGCUCCUUGGUAUUCCGAGGAGCAUGCCUGUUUGAGUGUCAUGAAUCUCUCAACCUAUAAGUCCUUGCGGCUUGUAGGAUUGGACUUGGAGGCUUGCCGGCAAGUUUAUCACUUUGUCGGCUCCUCUCAAAUGCAUUAGCUUGGUUCCUUGCGGAUCGGCUCUCAGUGUGAUAAUUGUCUACGCUGUGACCGUGAAGCGUUUGGCUAGCUUCUAACCGUCUCUCUAGAGACACUUGUAUCUGACCUCUGACCUCAAAUCAGGUAGGACUACCCGCUGAACUUAA